rnacentral:rRNA from 1 species
CACCUCUAGCAUUUCAAAUAUUAGAGGCAUUGCCUGCCCAGUGACCAAAGUUAAACGGCCGCGGUAUCCUGACCGUGCAAAGGUAGCAUAAUCACUUGUUCCUUAAUUAGGGACUCGUAUGAACGGCUAAACGAGGGUCCAACUGUCUCUUAUUUUUAAUCAGUGAAAUUGACCUUCCAGUGAAGAGGCUGGAAUAAUUUAAUAAGACGAGAAGACCCUAUGGAGCUUAAAUUAACAAACUUACUUGAAAUUUUACCACACCUAAUGGCACAAAAAUAAUAUCCUAAAUUUAAAAUUUUGGUUGGGGUGACCUCGGAGAACAAAAAAUCCUCCGAAAGAAUUAUAACUUAGACCAACAAGUCAAUGUAACCUUGAUUCCAAUUGACCCAAAAAUAUUUGAUCAACGGACCAAGUUACCCUAGGGAUAACAGCGCAAUCCUAUUUAAGAGUCCAUAUCGACAAUAGGGUUUACGACCUCGAUGUUGGAUCAGGACAUCCCAAUGGUGCAGAAACUAUUAAUGGUUCGUUUGUUCAACGAUUAAAGU